GGGGUAGCUCAUCGGUAGAGCGCUCGCUUAGCAUCUUCACAAGUUGUGUGCGAGAGGUACAGGAUUCGACUCCCUGGUACUCCA
rnacentral:tRNA from 1 species